AUUGAACGCUGGCGGCAUGCCUUACACAUGCAAGUCGAACGGCAGCACGGGGGGCAACCCUGGUGGCGAGUGGCGAACGGGUGAGUAAUGCAUCGGAACGUGCCCCGUAGCGGGGGAUAACCAGUCGAAAGACUGGCUAAUACCGCAUACGCUCCACGGAGGAAAGCAGGGGAUCGCAAGACCUUGCACUAUGGGAGCGGCCGAUGCCCGAUUAGCUAGUUGGUGAGGUAAAGGCUCACCAAGGCGACGAUCGGUAGCUGGUUUGAGAGAACGACCAGCCACACUGGGACUGAGACACGGCCAGACUCCUACGGGAGGCAGCAGUGGGGAAUUUUGGACAAUGGGCGCAAGCCUGAUCCAGCCAUGCCGCGUGCGGGAUGAAGGCCUCGG
rnacentral:rRNA from 1 species